ensembl:lncRNA
GGGCGGAGCUGCGGGAGGGGUCGCGGAGGCCGCAGUCGGCUCCUCGCUCAGGGCGGCCGUCCCACCGAGGGCCAACCCGGGCCUGCGUCAGCCCUGCGGCCCGGGAGAACUCGCCCUAAUGCUAACGCGCGUGGGGCGAGCGCGGGACCCAGCGGAACCGCCCAGGGCGGAUCCCGGCGGAGCCCGGGUGGGGCCGAGGCGUGGGGCGGGGCGGCCCUGUGUACAUAGAUCCGCCGGAGCCGAGCGCGGUAACCACGGCGACCGUGCGGCCUGGCCCCGCCCCGCCACUGGAGCCACGCCUUCCCUCGCUCCCCAUUGGUCGUCAGCCCCACAGCUUCCCGAAACCACCAAUCAUCGCCCGCGUUUCCGUACAAAGGGUGGAGAGGCGCCUCGUGGCGAAAGCCACCCUCUGCUGGAGAAGCCGGGCUGGUGGUUUAAUUGUGGUUAACGUGAACUCCCAUCAAAGAGACAAAACGCGAACGGCAUUACCUAAUCUUGUACACCUCGGGAGCACUACGAGAGCCCGUGCAGCCCCUAAUAACCAUCCCUGGCCGGUUCCCGUGGCGAAGAGCCGUCAGAUUGGGCUCAUCCUGGAUCUCUACGGAGCCUGGCAUCGCUUCUGAUGCCUGUCGCUUCCCGUGGGAGAGGGGAGUCUUUCUUCGACGUGAAAAGGGUCCUGCAGGGAGGAGGUCAGAGGCAGAGACUUCUCCAACCCCUCUGAGCCACAGCUAACCACCUCCACGGAACCAUUUCUAUGUCUGCUGGAUGGAUGGAUGCACGCAUGCAGGGGGAAGCUCUGCUCUGCUCUGCUCUGCUCCUGCUCCUGCUCCUGCACCUGCUCCUGCUCCUGCUCCUGCUCCUGCUCCUGCUCCUGCUCCUGUUCCUGUUCCUGCUCCUGCUCCUGUUCCUGCUCCUGCUCCUGCUCGGCUCUGCUCUGCUCUGCUCUCUUGGGGAAAAGCCAAGAGAGGCAGUAGUUGAACUCAAUCCAGGACCUGAAAGCAUUCUGCAAGGGGAGUUGUCUUUGUUCUCCUGCAAGGUUUCCAGUGGAGAUAAAUGCGUUCCACAUGGCCCAGGAGGAGAAGGCUUCUUUCCACUUGCUUUUGAUCCUUCGACACUGCAGCGUGUAAACACUUAUCAUUCCAGAGUCUUCCAGAACCACAGGUCCUUCCCUGACCUCCCACCCUACCGGAGUGGCAUGACCGUGUCCCACACCACCCUGUAGCCGCCACCACCCAAGUGGAGAGCCAUGGUCAUGAGCCCCAUGGAACUGUCCUUGCCAGAAAGGACCCAAAGCAUAGGUUGCCCGGUGGCCUUUGCCUGUGGCCAGGCAGGCUUCAUGCCUAAACGCAGUCUUCCCUGUGGGCCCAGUUUCACUGUUCCUCCUUGACAGGCCAACUACCAGAUGAAGUCAGAUGAAAAAGGGGACGCGCCCUCACGGCCCCUGCUGGAGACUUCAGCUGUCACAGUCUCUCUGCAGGAAAACUGUACGUGAGUAAAUAAACGCAAAAGGAAACACUCUCACGACCAGGAAUCUACCCCUAGGAAGUAAGUGAAAUGAUUUACACAUAAGAUGCUUCCUACAUCAUUUUAAAAAGUUUUUAAGGGGCCGGGGAUUUAGCUCAGUGGUUUCGCCACCUACUGCACAAGCACAAGGACCCAAGUUCGACCCCCAGUACCAAAAAAAAUAAAGUUUUUAAAAAGGCAAGGCGGGGAACAACCUAAGUAAUUAAGGAUAGGGGAGUAAAUGGCUUCCUGCACUUUGACAACUGUGACAUAAGCCUACCAAAACUCAUAUUGGAGUAUAUGCCCUAAUAAAAAAUGAUAAAUAUUUAUUUUUAUAAAUUGCACCUGGGUACUAUUGAGCCAAAAUAUUAUGUGCAUGAUCAAAUACACAUUAUGGUCACUGUAAACAGUGUUUUAAAUUUAUUUUAUUCAUUUAUACUACAAAAAUAUUUUGGUAUAGAGAAAUGCAAUUUUUGAUAUGUUCUAUUAUUUGUGUAACUUUUAGGUCAACACUUUAUGAUACAAUUGAAGAUUCAGUGUAUUUUUAUACUAGGUUUUGAUAGUUACCAUAAUUGAAAACAUUCUUUUAUGAUGACACAGAUAAAAUAGUAUAAAAGCAAUAAUUGACCAUAU